UCCUUUGAUUUUGAGGAAGGUUUAAAGCUAGCGGCACUUUUAAUACAUGCUAGUCAAACGGGGAAUAUAGGCGCCUUCGGCGCCCGCCCUGUGGCAAACAGGUGAGUAAUGUACCGAUUUUACCCAAAAGAAGCACCCAAAUGGUGCGGCGCUUUUUUAUUACUUGCCCGCGCCUUCGGCGCGCGCCCUAAAAAAGAGAGCGCGGCUAAUGACAAGGGCGCCUAUGGCGCCGGAUCGGUCGACGGCGCUCGGUUACUUUUGGAAAGAUCGGAAUUCGUAUUAGACGAGAAGAGUUUUUUAUUUUUAAAAUGCCGGGGGCCCUUCGGACCCCCGGGGCCCGGUUUAUACCGGGCCCGCUUCUGUCCAUGAUGCGUAGCUGAGAGGUCACAGUUAUACUGAAACAAGGAUAACCGCGCUAAUGCGCGCCAGCAGUAGAGAAUUUUGGGCAAUCAACGAAAGUUGGACCCAGAGAUGUCGCCUUUUAGGGUUUUAAUGACUUCGAUGGGCGCCUUAGACCUUUGAUUGGGGAUCAGGCGCCAAAAGGCGCCGUGGAUCCCCAACGACCGACCAAAGGACUUUGGUUGGUCGAUCGGUCGUUGGCACCCCGUUCGACGUCUUUUUAGGUGCCCAACCGGGCCCGGCCCACGGCGCCUUUUGGCGCCCAGUCCGUCAAAAAGACGUGCCAGCAGACGCGGUUAUACGUCUGGACUGAGUUUUAACCAAAAAACAGGCGUAAAGUGUGAAGAGGGUGGGUGUUUGGCAAAGGGGGGUUUUCGGCCACCGCUGGCUCCCCUUACUUUUGGACCCGGUUUAAUCCGGGUCUUGCCCGCUAUACAGAGAAAAAAAAGGUAAUUGGUACUUUUAGGUAUUGGUGAAAUAAUUCAAUCUAAAAUGGAACACCGGAGACGAAGGUUAAUUACCAAAAAGUUCUGUCACUUUUUUUCACGAAAACAUAGGGAACAAACAGGAUUAGAUACCCUGGUAGUCUAUUGUUGUAAAAGCUGAUCUAUCGCGGCAUAAUUUCCAUGUCGCCUUGAUAACUCGAAAAGAUUCCGCCUGAAUAGUACGACCGCAAGGUUGAAAUUCAAAAAAUUUGGCGGUUCACUAAUCCAAUUAGAGGAGCGUGUAGUUUAAUGCGAUGAUCCGCGAAUAACCUUACCAGAACUUGAAUAAAAGGAAUCGACCGUCGACCUACCAAUCGGUACCGUACUAGUCGAACCGAGAUUUCGGACCCUUCGUUGGUUGGGGUCCCUUUUACAGGUAUCGCACGGCCGUCGUCAGUUUGUGUUGUGAAACUUUUUAACGAACUUAACCCCUUUUUUGAUAAAAAUGGGGCCUCAAAAAGAGAGAUUGGGCCUCCAAAAGAUACCGUUGGCGCCAAAGGCGCCGAUGCUUAUUUGUAGAAUGGGCGCCGAAGGCGCGGAUCCAUCGGAUCCGCCCACCAAUGACUGCCCGACCGACUGGGGGGACCCCCCCCAAUCGGUCGGUCAUUGGCUCCCCUUUUCCCCCUUUUUAUCUUUUUUUUGGGAUGACGUCAGGUCUUCAUGGUCCAAAUGUUCUGGGCCCGGCGCCUUUUGGUGCCCGAUGCGCUACAAUCUUUUAUACAAAAUAAAUUUUGGUUUUGGGGGUUUGGAUCCAAAGGAUCUACCCCCCCCGUUAUUUAACAUAAAAGUUCGGAGAAAGGUCUGAAAGGUCCUUUUGAAGUUGGAUUUAAUAGUAAUCGUAAAGUAGAGCGUUACGGUGAAUAUGGCUCUAGUGUUCGUACAAAUCGCCCGUCAACUCGACCGAGUUUUAAAUGUUAAAAGAAACUUUUUAGCUUUUUAGUAUAUAUGGCCGCCGAGUCCGGGCCCGGCUUUUACCGGGCCCCAAUGUCGCUCGAAGGGGCCGGCCAAUCGGCGCCUUCGGCGCCUAUCGUACCGUACCGUACCGUACCGUACCGUACCGUACCCCCCUCUGACAGAAGUUUUGGAAUUUUGAGACUUUUGAAAUUAGGUUGAGUAAGUCGUAACAAAGCAAGAGUACUGGAAAGUGUUCUUG
rnacentral:rRNA from 1 species